GACCUUGGAUUUUACUUGGAAUGAGUGGAAAGCUAUGGGGAAAGGGAAUGAACAAGGGAGCAACAUGAUUUGAUUAAGUCUUAAAAGAAUCAAUGCUGACUGCUGUAUUGAGAACAAGACAAAGAAGGCAAAGAAGGAGGGAUCACUCUUCCACCUUGUUCCUCUCCACAGGACAGCCCUGACUGCCACCUGAUGCCCUCCCCUGGCCCUGUCCUGCUACCAUCCAUCCCCCGUCCAUCCCCCUUUGGAUUGGCUAAGCGUGUUCCCUCCCCUGGCUCCUCAGCUCCGCCCUCAUAUUCAGUGUUGCGGCGUCUUGCCAUUCGCCCCAAAACCCAGUUCACACCCAUCCCAUCGGCCCCCAAAGUUCAGCAGGCUCAAUGUUUGAGUGGCCUCUCUCCUCAGUCUUGCCCUGAAGAGCCUGCCCUGCCCUGGGUAAGUGCCCACAGCCUUUCCAUGCUGAAAUCCCUCACUCUGUCCUGUUGGCCUGAGGUCCAGCAGUUUGUGGCAGGUGGGCUCUCUGGAAAAGCUACCUAACUCUCCAAGUCUCCCUGCUUCUCUGCUGUCCCUCCUAAUCUU